ensembl:misc_RNA 7SK 7SK RNA
GGCUCUGAAGGCAAUCUGGCUGCAACAUCUGUCACUCCUUUAAUUGCCGAGGUUGUUUCAGCUGAUUUGACUAGCUCGGCAAGUGUCCACUUCCUACUUCACCUCUCCGUGUGUGUCCUUCCCAAAGCUGCACACUCAGUCAAAGAGGACCACCUUCCCUAGUAAGGAAGACCAUUCUUUGGUCAGGGGUAUAUGAGUAGUUACACUCCCCUGCUAGAACCUCCAAAGCACCCACAUGGUACCAAGCAGUAGACUUAAAUGCUAGGAAUAUAGCAAUAGACAAGGUGGACUUCACUCUGUAGUCACAAUUUCUGU